rfam:Lactobacillus secaliphilus strain DSM 17896 NODE_20, whole genome shotgun sequence.
GCGGGUAUAGUUCAGUGGUAAAACAUAACCUUCCCAAGGUUAAGUCGCGAGUUCGAUUCUCGUUACCCGCU